UACGGGGGGUCCAAGCGUUUGUUCGGGAAUCACUGGGCGUAAAGCGCACGUAGGUGGCUUUUCAAGUCUGUUGUGAAAGCCCAGGGCCUAACCCUGGAAGUGCAGCAGAUACUGUUAAGCUUGAGUAUGGGAGAGGAUAGUGGAAUUUCUGGUGUAGUGGUGAAAUACGUAGAUAUCAGAAGGAACACCAGUGGCGAAGGCGGCUAUCUGGCCCAAUACUGACACUGAGGUGCGAAAGCGUGGGGAUCAAACAGG
rnacentral:rRNA from 1 species